rfam:Cephalotus follicularis DNA, scaffold: scaffold3262, isolate: St1.
AGGCUGUGAAGAGGAAUAGUAUAUACCAUCAAACUAUGAAAGCUCUCUUAUUUGGAGGGAUGCUUGUUGAUGCAAUCAUAUCUAACCCAGCUCUCUGAGCCU